rnacentral:rRNA from 1 species
CAAUAGCGUAUAUUAAAGUUGUUGCAGUUAAAAGCUCGUAGUUGGAUUUGUGGUGUGUCCAGUUGGCCUUUGCUCUUUGAGUGAUAGUGCUUUACUGGUCUGCCAUGUUUGGGUGGAAUCUGUGUGGCAUUAAGUUGUCGUGCAGGGGAUGCCAUCGUUUAUCUGUGAAAAAUUAGAGUGUUCAAAGCAGGCUUAUGCCUCUGAAUAUAUUAGCAUGGAAUAAUGAUAUAGGACCUUGGUACUAUUUUGUUGGUUUGCGCACUGAGGUAAUGAUUAAGAGGGGACAGUUGGGGGUGAUUGUAGUUCCAUUGUCAGAGGUGAAAUUCUUGGAUUUUUGGAAGACAAACUA